rnacentral:rRNA from 1 species
UGGAAACAUACAGCAGUGAGACAGGUGUUGCAUGGCUGUCGUCAGCUCGUGUCGUGAGAUGUUGGGUUAAGUCCCGCAACGAGCGCAACCCUCAUCCGAUGUUGCCAGCGUAAAGUCGGGGACUCUUCGGAAACUGCCCGUGCAAGCGGGAGGAAGGUGGGGAUGACGUCAAGUCAGCAUGGCCCUUACAUCUGGGGCUACACACAUGCUACAAUGGGCGUUAACAAAGGGCAGCAAGACCGCGAGGUCAAGCUAAUCUCAUAAAUACGUCCUCAGUUCGGAUUGCAGUCUGCAACUCGACUGCAUGAAGUUGGAAUCGCUAGUAACCGCAGGUCAGCUAUACUGCGGUGAAUACGUUCCCGGGCCUUGUACACACCGCCCGUCACGCCACCUGAAUUGUCUGCACCCGAAGCCGGUGGCCUAACCCGUAAGGGAAGGAGCCGUCGAAGGUGUGGGGAGUGAGGGGGACGAAGUCGUAACAAGGUAGCCGUAUCGGAAGG